UGUAACAAAAGGCCUUCCCCUUUGUGCGUUUCAACCCGAGAGAGAGAGAAGGGAGAGUCUUUCUCUCUUUCUCUCUUUUCUUCUAGCUCACCACCCUCUCUCCCUCUCUUGUAAUCUCUCCACCAAAGAGGAAUUGGAGAAGAAGCUUGGUGGAGAGGAAGGCUUGGAGUUGAGCUACUACUUCUUCAUCAUUGGCUCAAGAAAAGGAAGCUUUUGAGGUUCGCACGUGAGCGGCGCGGCGGCCCGAGGCAAGGGCGUAGCUCCGUAGAUAGCGCCCUACUCUGAGACCAGAGAUAGCAGUACCCCAAGUCGGCAUAGCCUAGGGGUAUAGAAAUGAAAAGAACACAAAUGUAAUAAACUUGUAGUACAUUGUAAUAACUUAAUUGCAUUUGGCAGUUGAAUGUAAUGUAAAAUGAAAACUGAGA